AUUGAACGCUGGCGGCAGGCUUAACACAUGCAAGUCGAGCGGAGCGAGGGUGCUUGCACCUUAGCUUAGCGGCGGACGGGUGAGUAAUGCUUAGGAAUCUGCCUAUUAGUGGGGGACAACAUUCCGAAAGGAAUGCUAAUACCGCAUACGCCCCACGAGGGAAAGCAGGGGAUCUUCGGACCUUGCGCUAAUAGAUGAGCCUAAGUCGGAUUAGCUAGUUGGUGGGGUAAAGGCCUACCAAGGCGACGAUCUGUAGCGGGUCUGAGAGGAUGAUCCGCCACACUGGGACCGAGGCACGGCCCAGACUCCUACGGGAGGCAGCAGUGGGGAAUAUUGGACAAUGGGCGGAAGCCUGAUCCAGCCAUGCCGCGUGUGUGAAGAAGGCCUUUUGGUUGUAAAGCACUUUAAGCGAGGAGGAGGCUACUUAGAUUAAUACUCUAGGAUAGUGGACGUUACUCGCAGAAUAAGCACCGGCUAACUCUGUGCCAGCCGCCGCCGUAA
rnacentral:rRNA from 1 species